rnacentral:rRNA from 1 species
UUUUCGCAAUGCCCGAAAGGGUGACGAAGCGACGCCGCGUGGGUGAGGAAGGCCUUCGGGUUGUAAAGCCCUGUCAGGAGUUAUGAAAUGUAGGUGCGCUAAUAUCGUGCUUAUUUGACAAAGGCUCCAAAGGAAGCCACGGCUAACUCUGUGCCAGCAGCCGCGGUAAUACAGAGGUGGCGAGCGUUGUUCGGAAUUAUUGGGCGUAAAGAGCACGUAGGUGGGUUUGCAAGUCAGAUGUGAAAGCCUUCUGUUCAACGGAAGAAUUGCAUCUGAAACUGCCAAUCUUGAGUGUAGGAGGGGAGAAUGGAACUUCUGGUGGAGCGGUGAGAUGCGUAGAUAUCAGAAGGAACGCCGGCGGCGAAAGCGAUUCUCUGGCCUAUUACUGACACUCAGUGUGCGAAAGCUAGGGGAGCAAACGGGAUUAGAUACCCCGGUAGUCCUAGCCGUAAACGAUGGGCACUAAGUAGAGGGGUU